UACGAAGGGGGCUAGCGUUGUUCGGAAUUACUGGGCGUAAAGCGCACGUAGGCGGACUACUAAGUCAGUGGUGAAAUCCCGGGGCUCAACCCCGGAACUGCCUUUGAUACUGAGAGUCUCGAGUCCGGAAGAGGUGAGUGGAAUUCCGAGUGUAGAGGUGAAAUUCGUAGAUAUUCGGAGGAACACCAGUGGCGAAGGCGGCUCACUGGUCCGGUACUGACGCUGAGGUGCGAAAGCGUGGGGAGCAAACAGG
rnacentral:rRNA from 1 species